AUUGAACGCUGGCGGCAGGCCUAACACAUGCAAGUCGAGCGGAGCGGCGGACGGGUGAGUAAUGCCUAGGAAUCUGCCUGGUAGUGGGGGAUAACGUACGGAAACGGGCGCUAAUACCGCAUACUAUCAGAUGAGCCUCGGUCGUAUUAGCUAGUUGGGGGGGUAAAGGCCUACCAAGGCGACGAUCCGUAACUGGUCUGAGAGGAUGAUCAGUCACACUGGAAUGGAGCAACGGUCCAGACGCCUACGGGAGGCAGCGGUGGGGAAUUUUGGCCAAUGGGCGAAAGCCUGAUCCAGCCAGCCCGCGUGUGUGAAGAAGGUCUUCGGAUUGUAAAGCACUUUAAGUUGGGAGGCGUUACCAACAGAAUAAGCACCGGCUAACUUCGUGCCAGCCGCCGCGGUAAUUC
rnacentral:rRNA from 1 species